rnacentral:lncRNA from 1 species
UUUUUUUUAUCAAUUCCAACCAAAUCCUAAUGAAAUUCUAAAUUCUAAAAAAAUCUGAAUCAAAUUCUAAACAAACUUUAAUCAAAUUUCAAACAUAUCCUAAUCAAAUCCUAAAAACAUCUUAAUCAAAUCUUAAAUAAAUCCUAAUCAAAUCUUAAGAAAAUCCUAAAUCUUAAUCCUAGAUCAAACUCCAAUCAAAUCUUAAGUAAAUCAUAAUUCUAAGCCAAAUCUUAAUCAAAUCCUAAAUCUUAAUCUUAAUUCAAAUU